UACGUAGGGGGCGAGCGUUGUCCGGAAUCAUUGGGCGUAAAGCGCGUGUAGGCGGCUUGGUAAGUCCGGUGUGAAACCUUGGGGCUCAACCCCAAGCCUGCACUGGAUACUGCCUCGCUUGAGUCCGGGAGGGGAGAGCGGAAUUCCUAGUGUAGCGGUGAAAUGCGCAGAUAUUAGGAAGAACACCGGUGGCGAAGGCGGCUCUCUGGAACGGUACUGACGGCUGAGACG
rnacentral:rRNA from 1 species